AGAGUUUGAUCCUGGCUCAGAACGAACGCUGGCGGCGCGCUUAACACAUGCAAGUCGAACGAGAAUCCGGGGCAACUCGGUAGUAAAGUGGCGAACGGGUGAGGAAUACAUGGGUAACCUGCCCUUGAAAAUGGAAUAACCAGCCGAAAGGUUGGCUAAUACCGUAUACGCUUCCUAGUUCAUGGAUUAGGAAGGAAAGCUGUAUCGAGGAUGCGGCGUUCAAGGAGGGGCUCAUGGCCUAUCAGCUUGUUGGUAGGGUAACGGCCUACCAAGGCAACGACGGGUAGCUGGUCUGAGAGGAUGAUCAGCCACACUGGGACUGAGACACGGCCCAGACUCCUACGGGAGGCAGCAGUGGGGAAUAUUGCACAAUGGGCGCAAGCCUGAUGCAGCCAUGCCGCGUGUGUGAAGAAGGCUCUAGGGUUGUAAAGCACUUUCAGAAGGGAGGAAAGGUUGUAAGUUAAUACCUUGCAACUGUGACGUUACCUUCAGAAGAAGCACCGGCUAACUCCGUGCCAGCAGCCGCGGUAAUACGGAGGGUGCGAGCGUUAAUCGGAAUUACUGGGCGUAAAGCGCACGCAGGCGGUUUGUUAAGCAAGAUGUGAAAGCCCCGGGCUCAACCUGGGAACUGCAUUUGAAACUGGAUGGCUAGAGUGCGGCAGAGGGUGGUAGAAUUUCAGGUGUAGCGGUGAAAUGCGUAGAGAUCUGGAGGAACAUCAGUGGCGAAGGCGGCCCCCUGGCCAAAGACUGACGCUCAUGUGCGAAAGUGUGGGUAGCGAACAGGAUUAGAUACCCUGGUAGUCCACGCCGUAAACGAUGUCUACUAGUUGUUGGGAGACUUGAUCUCUUAGUAACGAAGCUAACGCGAUAAGUAGACCGCCUGGGGAGUACGGCCGCAAGGUUAAAACUCAAAUGAAUUGACGGGGGCCCGCACAAGCGGUGGAGCAUGUGGUUUAAUUCGACGCAACGCGAAGAACCUUACCCAGGUUGGACAUGCAAGUAGUAAGAACCUGAAAGGGGGAUGAGCCCGCAAGGGCAGCUUGCU
rnacentral:rRNA from 1 species